rnacentral:lncRNA from 1 species
GUGCAGCAGCAGGACCUGAGCAAAGCCGUCCUCUCACUGCUUCCCCAGAGCACUGCUGCAAAGCAAGCUGAGAGGAGACUCGCCCUUACUCUGGAUCUCCAAGCAUCUCAGCAUCCAGACUGCUACUGAGGAGGCCCCUGCCCUGUUAGCUGCAGCAAGACCAGCACACAAGGACAUGGCUUCUUCAUACAUCUGCAGCAUCACAGCCUCAGGAAGGCAGCGCAGGAGGACAUCCCUCCUGUCUAGCCAGUGUCAUUGAGGAAGGACAAACUAAAGGAAAGGCUAAUAUCUUAGCAGCUUGUUAGAGCAUCCACAGGAGCUGACCUGCGUUUCUCUCCCACAUAUUCCCUUUCUGUGUUACAUCUGUGGCUUUUUCUUCCAUAUCUGCAAUUGUUCAGCAAGACACACUGGAAAUGUUUUUUUCCUCCAGUUCGUACAGCAGAACUUGGGCUAUGAGCUAUAGAUCUUUCUCCAGUAUGACUGUAGCAAGUCCAGCUUUUAAACUCAGCUAGGAUUGUGUAAGCAGCCUUCUCCCUCUGCUCCACUGACUCCAUCCCCUCUCCCAGAAACUGGACAGCAGGGACUUUUACAGCAGCCUCACUUGUAGCAGGAACUUCUUCUGACAGCACUUGCUGACGUGCAUGGAAACAAGGGAUGGGUUCACUCAAAAACAAUGAGUCUGUCAAAGAGCCCCUGAACGUUUUACCUCCUAUGGGAUCACCAGCUCCAGUAGAUUCUAAUCAGACAACUUUAGAACUAUUGAUU